UACGUAGGGUGCAAGCGUUAAUCGGAAUUACUGGGCGUAAAGCGUGCGCAGGCGGUUUUGUAAGUCUGUCGUGAAAUCCCCGGGCUCAACCUGGGAAUUCGCGAUGGAGACUAGCAGGGCUAGAAUCUGGCAGAGGGGGUAGAAUUCCACGGUGUGAGCAGUGAAAUGCGUAGAGAUGUGGAGGAACACCGAUGGCGAAGGCAGCCCCUGGGUCAAGAUGACGCUCAUGCACGUAAGCGUGGGAGCAACGAAAGGUA
rnacentral:rRNA from 1 species